UUGGUUAAGUUAGAAAGGGCGCACGGUGGAUGCCUUGGCACUAGGAGCCGAAGAAGGACGGGACUAACACCGAUAUGCUUUGGGGAGCUGUACGUAAGCGUUGAUCCAGAGAUUUCCGAAUGGGGGAACCCACUAUCUUUAGUCGGAUAGUAUCCUUACGUGAAUACAUAGCGUGAGGAAGGCAGACCCAGGGAACUGAAACAUCUAAGUACCUGGAGGAAGAGAAAGAAAAAUCGAUUUCCUGAGUAGCGGCGAGCGAAACGGAAAGAGCCCAAACCAAGAAGCUUGCUUCUUGGGGUUGUAGGACACUCUAUACGGAGUUACAAAAGAAAGUUAUAAAUGAAGCGGUCUGGAAAGGCCCGCCAAAGACGGUAACAGCCCGGUAGUUGAAAUGGCUUUCCCUCCAGAGUGGAUCCUGAGUACGGCGGAACACGUGAAAUUCCGUCGGAAUCCGGGAGGACCAUCUCCCAAGGCUAAAUACUCCCUAGUGACCGAUAGUGAACCAGUACCGUGAGGGAAAGGUGAAAAGCACCCCGGAAGGGGAGUGAAACAGUUCCUGAAACCGUGUGCCUACAAGUAGUUAGAGCCCGUUAAUGGGUGAUAGCGUGCCUUUUGUAGAAUGAACCGGCGAGUUACGAUUUGUUGCAAGGUUAAGCGGAAAAAGCGGAGCCGUAGCGAAAGCGAGUCUGAAUAGGGCGCAUAAGUAACAGGUCGUAGACCCGAAACCAGGUGAUCUACCCAUGUCCAGGAUGAAGGUAAGGUAAUACUUACUGGAGGUCCGAACCCACGCACGUUGAAAAGUGCGGGGAUGAGGUGUGGGUAGCGGAGAAAUUCCAAUCGAACUUGGAGAUAGCUGGUUCUCUCCGAAAUAGCUU
rnacentral:rRNA from 1 species